rnacentral:rRNA from 1 species
UACGUAGGGGGCUAGCGUUGUCCGGAAUUACUGGGCGUAAAGGGUGCGCAGGCGGCCUCUUAAGUCAGAUGUGAAAUCCCCGGGCUUAACCUGGGAACUGCGUUUGAAACUGGGAGGCUUGAGUGUGGAAGAGGGGGGUGGAAUUCCAGGUGUAGCAGUGAAAUGCGUAGAGAUCUGGAGGAACACCGAUGGCGAAGGCAGCCCCCUGGGCUGACACUGACGCUGAUGCACGAAAGCGUGGGGAGCAAACAGG